rfam:Myxococcus stipitatus DSM 14675, complete genome.
GCCGCGGUAGCCCAAUUGGUAGAGGCACUGCACUCAGAACGCAGGGGUUGCGGGUUCGACUCCCGCCCGCGGCA